AGUCGUAACAAGGUCUCCGUAGGUGAACCUGCGGAGGGAUCAUUACACAAAUAUGAAGGCGGGCUGGAACCUCUCGGGGUUACAGCCUUGCUGAAUUAUUCACCCUUGUCUUUUGCGUACUUCUUGUUUCCUUGGUGGGUUCGCCCACCACUAGGACAAACAUAAACCUUUUGUAAUUGCAAUCAGCGUCAGUAACAAAUUAAUAAUUACAACUUUCAACAACGGAUCUCUUGGUUCUGGCAUCGAUGAAGAACGCAGCGAAAUGCGAUAAGUAGUGUGAAUUGCAGAAUUCAGUGAAUCAUCGAAUCUUUGAACGCACAUUGCGCCCUUUGGUAUUCCAAAGGGCAUGCCUGUUCGAGCGUCAUUUGUACCCUCAAGCUUUGCUUGGUGUUGGGCGUCUUGUCUCUAGCUUUGCUGGAGACUCGCCUUAAAGUAAUUGGCAGCCGGCCUACUGGUUUCGGAGCGCAGCACAAGUCGCACUCUCUAUCAGCAAAGGUCUAGCAUCCAUUAAGCCUUUUUUUCAACUUUUGACCUCGGAUCAGGUAGGGAUACCCGCUGAACUUAAGCAUAUCAAUAGUAAAAGUCG
rnacentral:rRNA from 1 species